UGCAAUGUAACGAUGAUGUCAUGAAGAAGUGAUGGAGGGAUGUGAGGUGGGAGUGAUGUAAGGAGGGAGUGAUUGAAUGUUCCUUUUUUGUUUGUCCUAUCAGAAUAAAAGUCUAAUGUUUAUAGUGUU